UUAUUUAUUUAGUGGAAGAUUAGAUUUCAAAUCUUUUACUCAGAAAAAAUUAGGGUGCUCAAAGCACACUUUAUAAAAAUUAUUUCUUUUCUUUUUAUCGGGAAUAAAAAAUAAAGUCACUGAAUAGAUUAGCACGGGAUAAUAGAAUAAGAUCACAAUUUUAUUUUGAUUUGGUUUUCUAAAGUUGUGGUAAUGAUAAAUAGGAACAAUCGGGGGCAUUAGUAUUCAGUUGUCAGAAGUGAAAUUCUUGGAUUCUCUGAAGACUAACAUAGGCGAAAGCAUUUGUCAAGGGUGUUUUCUUUAAUCAAGAACGAAAGUUUGGGGAUCGAAGAUGAUCAGAGACCGUCGUAGUCCAAACCAUAAACUAUGCCGACCAGUAAUCCAGAUUUGUUACUAAAAAGUCUUUUUUAUUCUUUACUGAAUAAGGGGCUUUUGGAAGACAAUCCGGGCGAUUUGUGAGAAAUCAUAAGUUUUUGGGUCCCGGGGGGAGUAUGGUCGCAAGGCUGAAACUUAAAGGAAUUGACGGAAGGGCACCCCACGGCGUGGAGCGUGCGGCUUAAUUUGACUCAACACGGGAAAACUCACCAGGUCCCGACAUAGUUAGGAUUGACAGAUUAAGAGCUCUUUCUUGAUUCUAUGGGUGGUGGUGCAUGGCCGUUCUUAGUUCGUGGAAUGAUCUGUCUGGUUGAUUCCGAUAACGAGCGAGACCCCUGCCUGCUAACUAGUCGUAUUAUCUUUUUUUAAACCAAAAGAUAAUAUCUUUUCAUCUUAUUU
rnacentral:rRNA from 1 species